GUCUCAACUGGUUUAUGGGUGCUAUAUACUUGGGCUUCCUGUGGGGGAGAGAGUUCAGAGGUAGUUUUGCAGUGCCAAAAGGCCUUCAGGAGAGCCCAUCUCUGUGGACACUUAUCCUCCAAUCUCUGAUUUCGCAGCUGGAGGGAGGAGGUUACAGGAAAAUGCUCCCUUGGAGGAAGGGGUUAACUGCACCAGUGGAAUUCAAAUCCUGGAGGCACUCUCUGAUACCUGGGGUACCUUCGGUUCCAUGAUGUUGACCUCUGACCUUUGAGGUUUAUCAGCACACUCACUAAUCAGGGGUGUUUAAUGGAACAGCCACACAGAUUCCUCGAAUUCUUGAAACAUUACAACCCUGUCAGUUGAAUGAAGACUAAAAGUUUCUUGGUUUUUGAACUCCCUUUCCUUUAUAAUGUCUUUAGAGUGUCUUGCUAGCUGUGUCUUACCUAACUGUUCUAAAUUGCCCGAGGCCAACGUUUUGAAAGACGGAGCAUUUAUCACUUAACUGGAAUCAGGAUGAUAAUUUUUCUCUCCUGGUGUGAAAGGAAUGGGGUGGGAACACGAGGGCCACACUCUACCAUCUCUGAGGCACUUUGGAGUCACUUUUUUGUUACGUGUGAAUGUAGCCUUAUUAGAGGCAACUUAGAGAUGAUUUGCAGACGGGACCGUUCACAUGCCAGUCUGUCCCCCCACUUCACUGACAUUCUAGGCUAGAAAAUGUAGAUUAGAAAUGGGACGAGAACACAAGAGCCACACACUACCACCUCGGAGGAGUUUUGGAGAUCCAUUUUUGUUGCUACCCGUGAAUCCAGCCUCAAAACAGUUCACGAAAAUUCAAUCCACAACACAAAUGAGUUUCUACAUUCUUCUGUUCAUCUGUUAGCGACAAAUCCAUGAUGACUGAAGGUUGCCGGUUCAAUCCCUAGCCUCUCCUUGGAAGAAGACAAUGGCAAACCACUUCUGCAUCUUUCUCAAGAAAACUGUAUAGUGAUGCCCAUGGCGUCCGGGAGUGGCUGUAGCUCAGUGGUAGAAGAAACUGCCUGGAAAGCAGAGGGUUGCCAGUUCAAACCCCAGCCUCACCCUGGAGGUAGGCAAUGGCAAACCAGUUCUCCAUCUCUGCCAAGAAAAGUGCACUGAGAUGCCCAUGGUGGUGCCCAUUUAGUCAACCAGGAGGUGGUCACAGUUCAGUGCUACCAACAAUAGAUAUUACAUCCUAAUGAUGAAUCAAAGCAGCAGCCCUCUUUUCAUUGAUAUAAGUAUAUUAAUUGGCAUGUCUUAGGGGUUCACAAUAAAGAUGCAUGCUUCAAAGACA
rnacentral:lncRNA from 1 species